AUUGGUCGCUAUUAUAACGCGUUUCACGCGGAUGACGCUCCGGCCCCUCCCACAAUCAAUAUUAAUUCAAUAACUGCUUCUAAACCAAAAACUUCACCACCGGAAAGGUUAGAGCGGGAGUCUGACCUGAAAUCACGGAGAAAUGAUCAUCAACAACAAUCAGGAUUACAGCUUUCUGUGACGUUUUCCUCAGGUACAGCAGUGAGCAGUGACCUACAGUCUACACAGCCCAGUGAAGUUAAACAUAUUAUAUGCCUGCAAUACUUUAUCCUGCACAUGUCAACAUAACUGAAGGAAUCACUCAUCUAAUAAAGUAACUUGUUGAUGUGGUUUAAAAACUGCUAAGUAACCAACUGUAAACUGUACUGUAUUCAUAUUUCAUAGUCUGAUAAUUUAACUUUAAGGUAUUAUUACCAAAGUUAACCUUCAGAUAUGUGUAAAAGCUGCAAUUAUGUUUGAACCCCAUUAAACAUACCGUAUACUGAAUAUUCUAUCAUUAUAUAUUGGCAUGUCAUUUAUCUUCCAACGUAAUAAAGUUUGAAUGUGAGACAGUAAUGUAUUGUGUUGCUUACAGUCAUUAAUGUGACUGUGCACCUGUCUGUCUGUUUGUCUCUCUCUCUCUGUCUCUCACCCCAACUGGUCGAGACAGACGACCACCCACCUAGAGCCGAAGGAUCUGUCCUAGGUUUCUGCCUUUUAACAGGCAGUUUUUCCUUGCCCUUGUCGCCAAGUGCUUGCUCAUGGUGGUACUGUUGGGUCUCUGUAAAUAAUGUUAUAAAGAGUUCGGUCUAGACCUGCUCUAUUUGAAAAGUGUCCUGAGAUAACUUCUGUUAUGAAUUGGCACUAUACUAAUAAAAUUGAAUUGAACUGAAUUUAAUUAAUACAGGUUUAACAUUUUCAUAUUGAUAGAUGUUACACGAACCAGGUUUUCAACUCUUGUACAUCCAGGAAAUCUUCGUAAAACCUUUGUGAAAUAACAUGUUAUUUAUAUAAAACCACACUUAUUACUGAAUUAAAAAAUGACCAAAACUCUUCCUAAAAGUAAAACACUUUAUUUAUGAUUAAUUCAUAUUCUAGUUACACAUGUUGUAAGUAACAAAGCUAUAACUUUUAUGUAAACUGUGCAGAUCGUGUCCUUCAUCAAGGUAUCUUAGGUUUCUAGUAUACUGAAGUGUGAGCUGGU
rnacentral:lncRNA from 15 species